CAGCCGUAAACAAUGUGCGUUAGGUGUGUCGGUAACCACGUGUUACUGAUGCGCCGAAGAGAAAUCGUGAAACGCACCACCUGGGAAGUACGGUCGCAAGGCUGAAACUUAAAGGAAUUGGCGGGGGGAGCACCACAACAGGUGGAGCCUGCGGUUUAAUUGGAUUCAACGCCGGACAUCUCACCAGAUAAGACAGCUGAAUGAUUGCCGGGCUGAAGACUCUGCAUGACUAGCUGAGAGGAGGUGCAUGGCGUAGACGUCU
rnacentral:rRNA from 1 species